rnacentral:rRNA from 1 species
UACGUAGGUGGCAAGCGUUGUCCGGAAUUAUUGGGCGUAAAGCGCGCGCAGGCGGCCCCUUAAGUCUGAUGUGAAAGCCCCCGGCUCAACCGGGGAGGGCCAUUGGAAACUGGGAGGCUUGAGUAUAGGAGAGAAGAGUGGAAUUCCACGUGUAGCGGUGAAAUGCGUAGAGAUUUGGAGGAACACCAGUGGCGAAGGCGACUCUCUGGUCUGUAACUGACGCUGAGGCGCGAAAGCGUGGGGAGCAAACAGG